AACACAUGUGUGCAGAUCUGAGAGAAAAGGAGAAGGGGAUGAAUCUUGAGGAAGAUCUUGGUGAAGAAAAAGGUGAUCUCUCUCUCUCUCUCUCUCUCUCUCUCUUUCUCUCAAGGUAGUCAUGUUCAUUUGUUCUACACGGGGCUAUGUUAUUUUGGUGUGCCAGAGAGUAGUUAUUGUCAGAAGAUUGCAUUCUUCAUGUGUUACAUAUGUCUUCUUCUUUAAACAAUGCUCUUCAAUUUCUGGAUUUGGUGCAAGUUCAAGGUCAUGUUUUUACACCCUAAUUGGUUAUAUUUUGUACACCAACUUGUUCGUUUAGUGGUGGUUCGUUACCUGGUUUACUUUUCUUCUGUUGGCAUACUCAUUGAAUUUUUACGACAGUAAAUGAUCUAUUUUAGUCCACUUUCAUCGAUUUGUAUUGCUGCUAUUUCUCAUGGGAUAUUCAGGAGUUGUGAACACAUAUUUUGUAGGUGUUCCUAAUGGCAAUGGUGGUAUAAUCAGCAAUGAGAAAGAAGGAACUGUGAUUGGAUUUGUACUAGGUAUAUUCCUCAUCUCUCUCAGUUCAUGGUCCAAUCAUCACCCUGAUGUAACUGCUUCUUCGCAACUGAUUGUUUAGAUUCUUGUUAGGCUGACCACUAAUUAAACUAUUUGUCCCCUUGUUAUAGCUAAUCAUCUAUCUUGUGAUCGGUCGGCUGCUGCGUAUGGUGGCAGCCACACAUGAUAGUGAAUGGAAUCUAAUCCGUAGUAAAGUUAGUGCUAAAUCGUAGGUGUGUAUAUUCAGGUUCAGUACACUUGAGCAAUUUUGUGAGGAUAUGUAGCUAAAAUUUCCAGUUUUUCCUUUCGUAGUUGCAGCAGUUUUUCUGUACCAACUGCUUCCUCUUAUUAGUAAUUUCACGUUAGAGGAGAAGGUUUAGUUUACUUUUCUUAGGUUGUGAAUUCCACAAACUUUGGUAUGUGCAUUUGGGCUUAUGAAGUUUGACAAAGCAGGCAAGGCAAACAAAACUGCUGCACCAGAAGAACCUGUGCUCCAGUCUGACGAAGCAGCCAGGCUGUAUAUACACAUCUUUGCUUCCUGAUCCGUUUUGUCACCCUUGAUGGUCAGGCUGAUGCUUCUUCGCUUGAUGCUGAAGAAAAGGAUGAUCAUAUUAAGAUCCCCAAGAACAACAGGUGCUGCAUCUUCUCUUGUAUCUUUAUCUGUGUACUUUAAAUUCACAUGGACAGUCGAAUUGUCUGUAUAUACACACCUUGAAAUUAAGAAACUCUGGUGGUGCAAAGGGAGUUAGGACAGGGAAGAAAUCAAAGCAGU
rnacentral:lncRNA from 1 species